ensembl:snRNA U6 U6 spliceosomal RNA
CUGCUUCAGCAGCACAUGUAUUAAAAUUGGAACAAUAUAGAGAAGAUUAGCAUUGCCCCUCCACAAGGAUGACAUGCAAAUUUGUGAAGGGUCUAUAUUUUUU